AUAUCAAUAAGCGGAGGAAAAGAAACCAACAGGGAUUGCCUUAGUAACGGCGAGUGAAGCGGCAAAAGCUCAAAUUUGAAAUCUGGCACCUUCGGUGUCCGAGUUGUAAUUUGAAGAAGGUAACUUUGGAGUCAGCUCUUGUCUAUGUUCCUUGGAACAGGACGUCACAGAGGGUGAGAAUCCCGUGCGAUGAGAUGUCUGAUUCUAUGUAAAGUGCUUUCGAAGAGUCGAGUUGUUUGGGAAUGCAGCUCUAAGUGGGUGGUAAAUUCCAUCUAAAGCUAAAUAUUGGCGAGAGACCGAUAGCGAACAAGUACAGUGAUGGAAAGAUGAAAAGAACUUUGAAAAGAGAGUGAAAAAGUACGUGAAAUUGUUGAAAGGGAAGGGUUUGAGAUCAGACUUGGUAUUUUGUGCUUUCGGGUGGGGCCUCUACAGUUUACUGGGCCAGCAUCGGUUUGGACGGUAGGAUAAUGACAUUGGAAUGUGGCACCACUUCGGUGGUGUGUUAUAGACUUUGUUGAUACUGCCUGUCUAGACCGAGGACUGCGU
rnacentral:rRNA from 1 species